rnacentral:tRNA from 1 species
GCCUCGGUAGCGUAGUGGUCAAGACGCUCGCCUGGUAAACAGAAGUGCGUGGGUUCGAUCCCAGCCGAGGCA